rnacentral:snRNA from 1 species
GGAUAUCAGGGCAAUCUGGCUGCAACAUCUGUCACCCUGAUUGUCAGGAUUGAUUCAUUUGAUGUGGCUGGCUAGGCAGGCGCCCCCUCCCUCCCUCACCAUUCCACAUGUGUCCCUCCCAAAGUGGCAUGCUUUUCCUAAGUAUAGCGGCAUUCACCUGCUAGAAUCUCUAAACAAGGUCUCAAGGUCUCUCUAGAACAGCAACACAAGUUCUUAAACCUCACGUCAUCUCUCCACCUCCUGG